AGCAGCCGCGGUAAUUCCAGCUCCAAUAGCGUAUAUUAAAGUUGUUGCAGUUAAAAAGCUCGUAGUUGAAUUUCGGGGUCAGUAGAUUGGUCAUGCCACUGGUAUGUACUGGUCUCACUGAUUCCUCCUUCCUGAUGAGCCGUAAUGCCAUUAAUUUGGUGUUGCGAGGAAUCUGGACUGUUACUUUGAAAAAUUAGAGUGUUUAAAGCAAGCUAACGCUUGAAUACAUUAGCAUGGAAUAAUGAAAUAGGACGUUCGAUCCUAUUUUGUUGGUUUCUAGGAUUGACGUAAUGAUUAAUAGGGAUAGUUGGGGGCAUUAGUAUUCAAUUGUCAGAGGUGAAAUUCUUGGAUUUAUUGAAGACUAACUACUGCGAAAGCAUUUGCCAAGGAUGUUUUCAUUAAUCAAGAACGAAAGUUAGGGGAUCGAAGACGAUCAGAUACCGUCGUAGU
rnacentral:rRNA from 1 species